GACAGAGGGUGCAAACGUUGUUCGGAAUUACUGGGCGUAAAGCGCGUGUAGGCGGCCCUGCAAGUCGGGUGUGAAAUCCCCGGGCUCAACCUGGGAAUGGCAGUGGAUACUGGAUCGCUAGAGUGUGUCAGAGGAUGGUGGAAUUCCCGGUGUAGCGGUGAAAUGCGUAGAGAUCCGGAGGAACACCAGUGGCGAAGGCGACACGCUGGGCCGUACCUGACACUGAUGCGCGACAGCAUGGGGAGCAAACAGG
rnacentral:rRNA from 1 species